rnacentral:rRNA from 1 species
GAGGGGUGCUAGCGUUAUUCGGAAUUACUGGGGCGUAAAGGGGCGUGUAGGCGGCAUGCUAAGUCAGUUGUUAAAUUCCCCCGGGCCUAAACCGGGGGGGCUCUGCAAUUGAUACUGGCAAGCUAGAGUACAGGAGAGAGAGGUGGAAUUAUCGGAGUAGCGGUAAAAUGCGUAGAUCUCGAUAGGAACACCGAUGGCGAAGGCAGCCUCUUGGCCUGUGUCUGACGCUGAAGCGCGAAAGCGUGGGGAGCAAACAGGAUUAGAUACCCUGGUAGUCCACGCUGUAAACGAUGAUCACUAGAUGUGGCUUGAGCUUGCUCGGGCUGUGUCGUAGCUAACGCGUUAAGUGAUCCGCCUGGGAACUACGGUCGCAAGACUA